GUGAAGAAGCUGCUUCAGCCCAGAGACCACCUACCCCCAAGACAAUAUGAACAGUAGGUUGCUAGGACAGCAGAGUACCAUGUGACAUUAAUUUGCUAAAAGGUAUAAAUGAAUGCCCCUGCAGUGAGGGGUUAAUUACUUUCUUCCCAUCAGGAAGAUAAGGACUCCACCUGACCCCAGCUUUGUCUUUGCUUUAUUUUCUCAUCCUCUCAUGGUCCUUCACCCCAAGAACCUCAAGGGCCUCAUGGAUUGUGGCAUAUGGUUCCUAAACAGGAAUAGGGUAAGAGAUUGAGUGUGAGGGGACACUUCUCACAUGCAUGCAGCUAGAGGGAGAAGAACGUUGGUAUGGGUCAAUAGUCAUCACUGGAGUGUAUUGAUAUUGGUAUCAUCAGGUGUAAAGUGUAGGGCACUGAAACAAUCCUUUAUUUUCUAUGGCCAGUUAUAAACAAAUCUGUGAGAAACCACUUCCCCAGGGGGAGAAGUAGGAAAAAAGGAAAAAAAAAGGUGUAUUGAUUUCAUUAGUGGUAUAAUUAUGGAAAAAACAACUUUUAAAGAAACAGAAAUGUAUGUGGAACUUUUUGUGUGUGCUUGAUUCCAAUAUUUACUUUUCUUCUGUGAAUUUUUAUUAGGAAAUGUCUUGAUGAUUGUGGGCUUGUUGAAAUGGCCACAAGGAAAUUGGCUCAGAGCAGUAUUUUAAAAUCAACUCCCAAGCAGGGAAGACGUGGUAGAGUAAGAGAAACUCCAAUGAAGUUUAAUAAGGAAGGAGAGAUGGGGGAUUAACUCUGUUAUACUGCAAAUUCUAUUUUACAACACCCGCUAUUUUUAAUUGAGUCACAAGAAGCUAUCGCCACCUUUUCAGCUCAGAGAAAUUUUGCUGUGCCAGAGGUUAAAACUUUGGGCUCUCAGGGAUUAGAGCCAUUUUUUUUUUUACCUCCCUUGCAAUUGGUGCUAAAACAAGCCAGGCAGAUGGGGGAGUACAUGGAGGGUUUCCAGCAUAUCUACUCUGUUACUGAACUUUGAAUCCCCAAUAGUCCAAGACAAAUUAUAAUCACUCAGGCCAUCAGUUCACAGCCUAAAGGAAAGAGAAAAAGACAGAGCUACUUGUUUGUGUUGUGGAGCGCGGAGGGGAGAAGGCAUUUUGCCAAAAGUUGUGCUGCUGCACCUGUGAGAGCACUAACUGUGCCUUCAGGUAUGUGUCCAAAGUGAAGAAGAUGGCAUCGUUGGGCCACUCAACGUAAAUUCAAAACUGAUAUGGAAGACCUACCUAUUCCAGAAAAACCUCUAGCAGGGUCUGCCUCAGUCUCACCAAACACUGGGGGUUGUUUCCUCAAUUCCUCCCGAGCCAUACUUACCCUGGAUUUCAUAAAACUUGAUUGGAAAGGAAUAACUAAAAGAUGUUUAUGUCCAGGGAAUUAUUAAGUCCCUGAAUUAUUUGCUGGUAGAAAGGGAUUUUUUUUUUUUGAAUUAUGCAUGGAUCAGGCCUCUGGUAGUGCCAUGUCACUGCAAAAGAUGUUAAUCAGACAGGAUGCUACAGGCAGUCAAUUUAUUUUAGAUAUGGGAUAUUUGAUCAAUUUAGAAUUGAAGCCACAAGGGCAUGGAGGGAACUUCCUUCACCAAAUGAAUCUUCCACUGAUUUGAUUUCUAGUCAGCAGAAAUCAUCUGAGGAUUUUAACCUUGAAAAAUGCAAAUAAAUGGUGCAAAGUACUGAGGACUUCCCUGUGGCGGCCUGGCUUGGCCUGGUUGGUGAGGCAGACCUGCACCAUGGAGCUGGAGUUUGUCUCCUGUGUGCUUGUUGAGAGAAACUAUAAUGUAGGAACACAUUUGUGAGAUGGCAAACUUACAGAUAUUUAAUGAUCAAUUAGAGGUCUCUGACCAAGUUUCUGUUCUGCUGUUUCUGCUGAAUUCAAUUGAUGGUGACAGUGUCUACAGCCCAGCUGCAAACCUCUGAUGAGCACUGAGUCAGAGUAACUGCUGAUACCUUAAGGAACCCUGGGCUAACUCGAGGACUCCUCCUCAGAAUGUACCUUAUGUAUCUUAUGUACCAUAAUGUAUAUUAUGGUAUUGCCCUUAACUAUGCUCAUUCUGUAAGGGCUCCUCUUCUUGCUCCCAGAGUGUUUCAAUAGCAGCCUGCCUGUCAAUAUAGACUCAAUGUAUGCAACCAAUUAUGUAACAUUUUGUCACUUGCUUUGUAUUCUCCAAUUCUCAAUUCUAUAUGAACUAAGCCGUUCCUAAAUUCAGUGCUUUUGCUUUUGAGGAAUUAUCCCUGCAACAGUCUACUGGCAUGAAGAUCCAACAGUCCACUGAUGUAAAGACUGGAUGCUGCCCUCUUAUAUCCUGGGUGCUAAGAGUCUUCUUUUCAGCUCCAGAGGGGAAGAUGUGUGCUGCUUGGUCUCUAGGAUGACCUCGUCACGCUGGCUUCCUGACAUGUACCUGACUGUGCUUGUCAUCGGAGGAGCUUGGGGCCUCUGUGUUGCUGAGGAUGGCUGUGGUACUUUUCAGGACAGCCCUGCUCUUUGUUGUGAGUGUGACUCCUCAGCUCCAGCAUAGAACACUCAUCUCACCAGCACAGCUUCUUCACCCCACUGGCAUGGACUUUCUGGCUUCCACCGCUGACCUUUGGGCCUUCCCAGCACGGAUCCAUAAAACAGACUGGCAUGAGUCCUUCUUGUGGGCUCUGGACCUCCAGUUGGAUUCAUGGGAGGCAUUGUCAUGAGCUCUGGUUUUUCAUCUGGACUCAUGUGAGACAUUGCUGUGGGAUUUAGGUCCUUGACUAAAUAUUCCAUGUCUUUGGUGUUGUGAAUAGAUUUCCUGCAUUUUCUUGUGUUGACUUCUGGUGAUCAUUAUAAAAAUAAUAUUAUGAACUCCA